GUCCAUUACCAGUAUCGGUACACUUUGGUCGGUUUUUCUGACGAGUUGGACUGGAGAGAGUUGAACUUCGUGGAACCGAUUCCAUCGAGCAGAAUUUGCCAAGCAUGCGGGCUGGUAACCAGAAUUACUGGACUUCUACCUUGCCUACACAUCCUCUGCAAGAAUUGUUACGAGCAGUGCCGGAGUGACGACGGGCAAUGCUGUCCUCUCGAUGGUCAACUAGUCCUGGCAGAUGACGUCGAAUGGGUGGAGUGCCCUGUGCACAACCUGCUGAAACGGAAGGUGAAGUGCUGGAACAAAGACCGUGGCUGCGGCAUAGUACUGUCUGCGUCAAAGCUCCACAAGCACUUUUGCAAAGACUGUGACCACCACUCCACUUCCUGUCCGAGAUGUUCGAUGGUCGUACGCUGUAAUAAUGCGUGCACGCACUUGCAGAGCGAGUGCAGGGAUCACGUGAUGUCUGUGCCAUCCGGGAAUGUGCAAACUAACACCACUGGCGAAAAAGCAUUGAUGAUGGCUUUGAAUGCAAAUAUAGAGACAGGAGUAGGUGAAAUGAAAGGGAGGCUAGACCACCUUACUCAUGAAAAUGACAUCCAAAGCAACCGCCUUAAUGAGAUUUCACAUUGCAUGAACGCAAUGAAAGAAACACUGCUAGAAAUAUCAAGCAGAACUAGUGCAUUGGACAGCGUUGCGGCCUCCUCAGAAGUAAUACCUGAAACUCUAAACGGUCACG
rnacentral:lncRNA from 1 species